rnacentral:rRNA from 1 species
CCCGCGACAAGCGGUGGAGUAUGUGGUUUAAUUCGAUGCAACGCGAAGAACCUUACCUGGUCUUGACAUCCCGGAGACCCUUAGGAAACCUAGGGGGUGCGUUUCCAUCUGGAAGAAUCUGGAGACAGGUGCUGCAUGGCUGUCGUCAGCUCGUGUCGUGAGAUGUUGGGUUAAGUCCCGGCAACCGAGCGCAACCCUUGCCUUUAGUUGCCAGCAGUUCGGCUGGGCACUCUAAAGGGACUGCCGGUGUUAAACCGGAGGAAGGUGGGGAUGACGUCAAGUCCUCAUGGCCUUUAUGACCAGGGCUACACACGUACUACAAUGGCCGAUACAAAGGGCAGCGACACUGCGAGGUGAAGCCAAUCCCGUAAAAUCGGUCUCAGUCCGGAUUGGAGUCUGCAACUCGACUCCAUGAAGCUGGAUUCGCUAGUAAUCGCGCAUCAGCCACGGCGCGGUGAAUACGUUCCCGGGCCUU